GGAGAGGUGGCCGAGUGGCUUAAGGUGCGCGACUGGAAAUCGCGUGUGCCCGAAAGGGUACCGAGGGUUCGAAUCCCUCUCUCUCCG
rnacentral:tRNA from 1 species